rnacentral:lncRNA from 1 species
GCAGUUGGUGACUGCUCGAAGGGGUGGGAGGAACAGUAUAAAGUCCUGUCCCCUUCCUGCCUUCAAGGGCACCCCUGAAGGACCAUAUCCACUGUGGACCCCCUUGGGAUCAGCCGAGCUUUUCACACUCUCUGUUGCCCUUGUCCUUGGGCAUCUCAGUGACUCGAAGGAAUUGGGUCUUGAGACACAGCCGAGCCUGUGAGCGCUGACCUGUGUAAAGAAGACACCAGAAUGAGAUGUCUCCACACACAGAGAGCUGCAGCCGAUGCCGGCCGGUGACUUGGGACUUGGAUGCUUAACAGGAGGCUCCCCCUCUCUUGGGAGGUAGAGAGCAGUGAGGAAGGGGACUCAGCCUCCAUGCCUCCCGCCAGCCCAGCUGCGCCCGAAUCACCUCCCUCCUGAAAGGAUGUCAGCCUCUGCUUGGACACCGUGGAGACAGGGCCCUCCUUGUGCUUCAGAAGCAUCAACGUGUCAGAAAAUCAUCUUCACGCCAAGUCUGGAAAAAAUGGCUUUGAGGUUGUGCACACAAAGGAAGGAGGGAGAGCCCCAGGUGUCGCGGAGGACCAUGCGGCUGACAGAGCCAGCAGGGCGGUGGCGUGUGAGCCGUGCUCUGGAUAUAUAAGGAUCUGACGCUGCUGGCAAUGUCUGAGCUCUAUGCUCGCCCAUCUGUCGGCUGCUAUCAUCACCGGGUGGGAUUAGCGGAGAUCCACUCUUUCAUAUUUAAAUCUUCACAAGAGAAUGAAUCACUUUUAUAAUAAAAGAAAAAGACCGUC